GCGCGUGCCCAGGAGGGCCUGGAUGAGGAAGCCCGCCUUCUCCUGGAUACCUCCUGAUGCCGUGCUUGCCCACCCCGAAGUUCCGCAGGGUGGCGAUGGAGAAGUGCCUGAGCAGCUUGGCGCGCUCCAGGAUUCUCGCUCUGUCGCCCAGGCUGGAGUGCACUGUCGCGAUCUUGGCGGCUCACCGCAACUUCCACCUUCCGGGUUCAAGUGUAAAAAUGGUGAAAGAUUCUUAAGCUGAGCUGGAGAAGAGGGAAAAUUACUGCGACAGAAACAGAGAGGGUCUAGAAGGAGGAGAGACCGUUACCAGGAGAUGGAGGCUGGAGAUGUGGAAGUAGGAAUACUGUGAAAUCCUAAGACAGAGGAAGAAGGAGAGGUCAGUGGACAGAGGAGAAACACGGAGAAGCACAGAAUCUGAGAAGGACAAAAAGACAAAUGAAGACAGAGGACCAGGGCUGGAAAACGGAAGCCCAGGAUUGUCCUCAGAGAUGGAGACAGAGGGGAAGGAGGAGACUCCAGUGAGAGAGGCAGGGAGAAAUCUGGACAGGGACAGGGAUGCUGGAGACAGGCAAGAGGGAGAGGACACAAUGAAGGGAGCUGGGGAGAGAAGACCAGACUGGGAGCUCUGCUGCAGCCUUCAGUGGGCAGGAAAGUCAGGAAGAAGGCUGGGGACGCAGAGGCCAUCGAGUCGGCCUGGCCAACUUCCUCCUCCGGGAUCCCCUCACCAUAAUAGCCUUUGAAGAACAAGUUGAAGGUGGCCUGCUCGCCUCGCCCGCUGAACUCCUCAGCCUGGUCCACCAGAGCCUCCCUGACGGCAUCAUGUCCGCACAGCACCACGACCCGCCGGGGCCCCAGGGUCUAUGGAGGACAGAAAACAGACAGUGGGCAGGGGACAUGCGUGAGUGGCCCUGAACUCCCGUCUCUCCUGCUCUGCAUCCUUAGUUCCCCUUUCUGGAUUUCG